AUGUAGGUAGUGUGACCUGUUGAAAUACACCUAGGAAUUGUAUAAGGAAAUGAAUGUGGCUUCCAUCUUCCUUUGGGAAAACAGACCACAGCCGUUCACCAAACCAAGCAUAAUACAGGGACAUCUGGUGGCUGAGUAACCUAAACGUUGAGAAGACACUGUAAAGAGACUGGUACUUCUAAGUCUACUUCAAUGAGAGAGUCUCUUUUUCUUAAAACUGAAGUAUCUUCUGAGGAAAUGAAAUGCAACAGAACCUGAUGUUUUACCUAACAAUGAAUAAUUCAUAUAAAAUGAAUGGGAAAUAAAAUACCAUCUUUACUAGUGAAAAUAUGAACAACUUUUUCCCCUUUGAAAAAAGUGGGUAACUACAGAACUUGGAAAACUAUUUGAAAUAUAUCAACUACUAUAUAACAAAUAAUAGUUUUGGUUUGGGUUUUGUUUUUAUUUCAACCAUCCAUGUUGGUUACUUUUAUGAUGUUCACAUAAGCUAGCUAGAAUUAUAACGUAAAUUUACCACA